ACCCAAAUCACGACUUCAGCUACAAUAAGUGUUGAUCAAGAACAUUUGCACAUCACCCUGAAACACUUCUAGGGUACUUUAGCCUCAAGGUGCAGAGCUGAUAUAUUAACAAGAAUGUCUUUUGCAUUUAGGCUCUCGGAAAUUUUCCUUCAUCCAUGACUUUAAUUGCCGAUUACAGAUGAAGUCAAGUUUGCGGGAAGCAGAACGUUCAUGCAUAAGGAGGGAUGAAGGUGCAAUGCAUUUUCCAUGAGAGGCACAGCGUUACUUUUAAAGAUCAAGCUCAGCUCAGAUUUGUUAUGGCAUUUUAGAACUUGAAGUAUUGUGAGAAAACAAAUUCCUGUCCUUGAAGCCCGUCACUCUGUAGUGCUUUGUCAUGGAAAUCCUGGAGAAUCUCUUGCAACACCCUUGGUGGCCAUCACAAUUCCCACAGAUUCCUCCACCUAACAGAUUCUUCGGCGUGGGACUGCAUUCUUCGAAAAAGAAGCACAUAGUGGUAGAAACUGCUAGAGUGGAAACUCUUGGGCUGUGGGUAGUGAGUGGAAGGAGGCACAUGGGGGUUCUAAAGGCAAUGAGAAUGUUCUGCAUCUGGAGCUGGAUGGUCACUUUGUGAACCGCACUAAGCUGUCCAGUGAUGGUAUGUACCCUUCUCUGGAAACACAUGACAUUUUCACAAAACAUUCAAAACAAAAUAUGUUUGAAAAGUUAAGCAAAAAAGUACAUUCCAGCAAAUUUGAU
rnacentral:lncRNA from 13 species